UUUAGGUGGCAGUAAAACUAAUUGGCACAAUGCGAAUUCCACACACAAGCCACAAAGAAAGAAGCCAUCAACCGCGGUCAACAACACCUUCCUGAUUGAACAGAACCACGCGCUGUCUGUGUGGUUUCACUGUUACAAGUUUCUUGGCGAUAUGGGGGAAAAGUUCCUCACAUACCAACGGAAAAUGGGCUUCACAUACAUGCUGCUGUCUCAUAAUAUGGCGAAGACGAGUCACCUGAAGGCCUAACUCGCCAUAGAAGACUGAAAGAAUUGUCCUGCAGGAUGCUGUGUCCUGCAAUCCUGUGUGCUGUGCUACAGACGCGUGUGGAGGUCAACCCAAAAUGGGCACAGUCUCACCACAGAAGAGUGAAAGAGGGUAAGCUUAACCUAUAGCCUACGUCAGGGUCGGGGAACGUUUCU